GCAGGUCGAGCGAAUGGGAUAAGAGCUUGCUCUUAUGAAGUUAGCGGCGGACGGGUGAGUAACACGUGGGUAACCUGCCCAUAAGACUGGGAUAACUCCGGGAAACCGGGGCUAAUACCGGAUAACAUUUUGAACCGCAGGGUUCGAAAUUGAAAGGCGGCUUCGGCUGUCACUUAUGGAUGGACCCGCGUCGCAUUAGCUAGUUGGUGAGGUAACGGCUCACCAAGGCAACGAUGCGUAGCCGACCUGAGAGGGUGAUCGGCCACACUGGGACUGAGACACGGCCCAGACUCCUACGGGAGGCAGCAGUAGGGAAUCUUCCGCAAUGGACGAAAGUCUGACGGAGCAACGCCGCGUGAGUGAUGAAGGCUUUCGGGUCGUAAAACUCUGUUGUUAGGGAAGAACAAGUGCUAGUUGAAUAAGCUGGCACCUUGACGGUACCUAACCAGAAAGCCACGGCUAACUACGUGCCAUCAGCCACGGUAAUACGUAGGUGGCAAGCGUUAUCCAGAAUUAUGGGGCGUAAAGCGGGCGUACGUCCUAUCUUAAGUC
rnacentral:rRNA from 1 species